AAAUUGAAGAGUUUGAUCAUGGCUCAGAUUGAACGCUGGCGGCAGGCCUAACACAUGCAAGUCGAACGGUAACAGGAAGCAGCUUGCUGCUUUGCUGACGAGUGGCGGACGGGUGAGUAAUGUCUGGGAAACUGCCUGAUGGAGGGGGAUAACUACUGGAAACGGUAGCUAAUACCGCAUAACGUCGCAAGACCAAAGAGGGGGACCUUCGGGCCUCUUGCCAUCGGAUGUGCCCAGAUGGGAUUAGCUUGUUGGUGGGGUAACGGCUCACCAAGGCGACGAUCCCUAGCUGGUCUGAGAGGAUGACCAGCCACACUGGAACUGAGACACGGUCCAGACUCCUACGGGAGGCAGCAGUGGGGAAUAUUGCACAAUGGGCGCAAGCCUGAUGCAGCCAUGCCGCGUGUAUGAAGAAGGCCUUCGGGUUGUAAAGUACUUUCAGCGGGGAGGAAAGGAGUAAAGUUAAUACCUUU
rnacentral:rRNA from 1 species